GAUGAACGCUGGCGGCGUGCCUAAUACAUGCAAGUCGAGCGAACGGACGAGAAGCUUGCUUCUCUGAUGUUAGCGGCGGACGGGUGAGUAACACGUGGAUAACCUACCUAUAAGACUGGGAUAACUUCGGGAAACCGGAGCUAAUACCGGAUAAUAUUUUGAACCGCAUGGUUCAAAAGUGAAAGACGGUCUUGCUGUCACUUAUAGAUGGAUCCGCGCUGCAUUAGCUAGUUGGUAAGGUAACGGCUUACCAAGGCAACGAUGCAUAGCCGACCUGAGAGGGGGGGCGCCACAACGGAACCUGAGACACGGUCCGGCCUCCUAGGGGGGGCAGCGGGGGGAAUUCUUCCGAAAGGGGGAAAGGCCGGAGGGAGCACCGCCGGGUGGGUAAUGAAGUUCUUCGGAUAUAAAACCUUUUUUAUUGGGGAAAAAAAUAUGUGUAAGUAACGGUGCACGUCUGGAGGGGCCCUAAUAAGAAGCCCACGGCAAACAACGGC
rnacentral:rRNA from 1 species